UGGCAAAUACAUUUCUAACAUAUCAAUGAUUUUCACAGGAUUGUACCUGCUGUUGCCUAACGUCAUUUCCCAAAGGAAACUUUGCUCCUCGGUAUCCUUUCCUGUGUCAAACGAAAGGGCCUCAGGAAUAUCGUAAAUGACAAAUUAAAAGAGUCUCAGAUAAAACACGUUUUACAAAUUCAGGGCCUUCUUCUCUCAGAGCUGUGAUGGCCAAAGAAGGGAUGCUACCAGAAGUUUGUUGGUCCAUGAGUCUAUCUCCGAUAUUCUCCACCCAGGAUAUACUGCACACUACUGAAGAUUAGAGUUUUUAAAGUCAGACUGGUAAGUCACACGCCAUAUAUAAAGAAAAUAAGAUAGCAUUGCCAAAGGGCUGUGCAAAGCUUUGUAUCAAUUUAUAUUCUUACUGCUUCUUUACUGCAACUAUUGCCACACGAACUCAACAGCACUGGAUAUUAUAAUUCUUCUAUUUUUCAACCAAGUGUGUUGUCAAAAAUAGCGUCUUAACUGCUUUAAAAAUUUUGUUUUUACGUCUCUAGUGUGUUUUGUGGUAUACAGUUAGUACCUAAAUAUUUAAAUAAACAUUGGCUAUUCCUUUAUUUUUUAUAAGAAAAAAAAAACACAUUGAUAAAAAAUAUUUGAACAUGUGUGCAGUAUAAACAGACAUUUUAAUGGGGAUUUUUCUUGGUAAGUAUUUGUGAUGUUUUUAAUUUUUAUAAUCAUAAUUUAAGAGGACUGUAUUGAAAUGGACACAUUGAUUCCUCUAAAUUAUACUGUUCAAAUUUUUUCUCAGUGUAAUUAUAGAUGUUCUUUGUAACAAAGGGAUUUGGACUGAACUGUGAAAAGUUCUAAAGAGAUUAGAUAGUAAUCAUCACAUUAAUAUAUAAAAUGUAUCACAUCUUAAAUUAAUGAAAUACAUAGUCUAAGAUUAUAUCAACCAGCAGUUUAUUAAGUUUGCUCCGUUGACUGCCAAUUUCCUAUUUAAUAAUGAAGGCUCCCUAAAUAUCCUUGGCUCUUUUCCAUACGCUAAUUUGUACACUUAUCACCAAUAUUUGAUCUUAAAAUUUGAAAUAUUCUUUAAUUUAAAUAAGUUUACAAUUUCUUUUUUAGUAAUCUCUGCAUGAACAGCCAGUCUCACAGGGGAACGGUGUCUAGGGUUACAGGUCAAUAUGGUUGGUUAAUACCAUUCUUUUUUCAUGAGCGUCUACAGGAAAAUUUUAUAAAUAGCCUUUUUAAUGCAAGAGUUCUCUUAAACUCACACCCACUAUAAUUCUGCACAGAAAUAAGAU